AGACGAGUCAGGAAGCAGCGACUAGAAGCAAACAAAGAAAGAAUCAAGCUAGGGAACACUCUAGAUUUAAGCCUCCUUAAGGGCUUCUAAGGCUUAGUAAGUAGGCAGGUUCAACCCUUUCCAGUAUGGUCAAACCACCUCAUCUUUCAGAGAAAGGAGCUAACUCGUCUUGCUUGAAAGAAGACAUGCCUCGACUUGCCCCAUUGAUU
rnacentral:lncRNA from 1 species